GACGAACGCUGGCGGCGUGCUUAACACAUGCAAGUCGAACGGAAAUGUCCUGCUUUUGUGGGGUGCUCGAGUGGCGAACGGGUGAGUAACACGUGAGUAACCUGCCCUUGACUUUGGGAUAACUUCAGGAAACUGGGGCUAAUACCUGAUAGGAGCUCCUGCUGCUUGGUGGGGGUUGUAAAGUUUCGGCGGUUGGGGAUGGACUCGCGGCUUAUCAGCUUGUUGGUGGGGUAGUGGCUUACCAAGGCUUUGACGGGUAGCCGGCCUGAGAGGGUGACCGGCCACAUUGGGACUGAGAUACGGCCCAGACUCCUACGGGAGGCAGCAGUGGGGAAUAUUGCACAAUGGGCGGAAGCCUGAUGCAGCAACGCCGCGUGCGGGAUGACGGCCUUCGGGUUGUAAACCGCUUUCGCCUGUGACGAAGCGUGAGUGACGGUAAUGGGUAAAGAAGCACCGGCUAACUACGUG
rnacentral:rRNA from 1 species